rnacentral:piRNA from 1 species
UAAAAUCACCAAGUCUGAUGCCAA